UGGGGAAUAUUGCACAAUGGGGGGAACCCUGAUGCAGCGACGCCGCGUGGGUGAGGAAGUACUUCGGUAUGUAAAGCCCUAUCAGCAGGGAAGAAAAUGACGGUACCUGACUAAGAAGCCCCGGCUAACUACGUGCCAGCAGCCGCGGUAAUACGUAGGGGGCAAGCGUUAUCCGGAUUUACUGGGUGUAAAGGGAGCGUAGACGGCGUGCCAAGUCUGAUGUGAAAGGCCGGGGCUCAACCCCGGGACUGCAUUGGAAACUGGCAUGCUAGAGUGCCGGAGGGGCAAGCGGAAUUCCUAGUG
rnacentral:rRNA from 1 species